CCUACGGGAGGCAGCAGUGGGGAAUUUUGGACAAUGGACGCAAGUCUGAUCCAGCCAUGCCGCGUGUGGGAAGAAGGCCUUCGGGUUGUAAACCACUUUUGUCAGGGAAGAAACGGCUCGGGUUAAUACCUUGGGCUAAUGACGGUACCUGAAGAAUAAGCACCGGCUAACUACGUGCCAGCAGCCGCGGUAAUACGUAGGGUGCAAGCGUUAAUCGGAAUUACUGGGCGUAAAGCGUGCGCAGGCGGUUAUGCAAGACAGAUGUGAAAUCCCCGGGCUCAACCUGGGAACUGCAUUUGUGACUGCAUGGCUAGAGUACGGUAGAGGGGGAUGGAAUUCCGCGUGUAGCAGUGAAAUGCGUAGAUAUGCGGAGGAACACCGAUGGCGAAGGCAAUCCCCUGGACCCGUACUGACGCUCAUGCACGAAAGCGUGGGGAGCAAACAGGAUUAGAUACCCUGGUAGUCCACGCCCUAAACGAUGUCAACUGGUUGUUGGGAGGGUUUCUUCUCAGUAACGUAGCUAACGCGUGAAGUUGACCGCCUGGGGAGGACGGCCGCGAGUAGUUAACGUUACGAAGAAGUUAGUAGGCGNGAGAGNGCGAGGCGACGACGAGGGAGGAGG
rnacentral:rRNA from 1 species